UGCCUCAGUAACGGCGAGUGAAGCGGCAACAGCUCAAAUUUGAAAUCUGGCCUCUCGGGGUCCGAGUUGUAAUUUGUAGAGGAUGUUUUGGGUACCGCCCCGGUUUAAAUUUCUUGGAACAGAAUGUCAAAGAGGGUGAGAAUCCCGUCUUGGACCGGCGGUAGGGCCUGUGUAAAACUCCUUCGACGAGUCGAGUUGUUUGGGAAUGCAGCUCAAAAUGGGUGGUAAAUUUCAUCUAAAGCUAAAUAUUGGCCAGAGACCGAUAGCGCACAAGUAGAGUGAUCGAAAGAUGAAAAGAACUUUGAAAAGAGAGUUAAACAGUAUGUGAAAUUGUUGAAAGGGAAGCGCUUGCAACCAGACUUGAGCGCGACGGUUCCCCUAGCCUUUUGGCUAGGUUACUCUGUCGUGUCCAGGCCAACAUCGGUUCUGAGGGUCGGUCAAAGGCCCCGGGAAUGUACCUACCCACGGGUAGACUUAUAGACCGGGGUGUCAUGCGGCCUCUCGGGACCGAGGAACGCGCUUCGGCUCGGAUGUUGGCGUAAUGGUUGUCAGCGACCCGUCUUGAAACACGGACCAAGGAGUCUAACAUCUAUGCGAGUGUUUGGGUGUCAAACCCGGAACGCGGAAUGAAAGUGAACGGAGGUAGGAAGCUUCGGCUGCACUAUCGACCGAUCCUGAAGUUUACGGAUGGAUUUGAGUAAGAGCAUAGCUGUUGGGACCCGAAAGAUGGUGAACUAUGCCUGAAUAGGGUGAAGCCAGAGGAAACUCUGGUGGAGGCUCGCAGCGGUUCUGACGUGCAAAUCGAUCGUCAAAUUUGGGUAUAGGGGCGAAAGACUAAUCG
rnacentral:rRNA from 1 species